rnacentral:rRNA from 1 species
UUGACCUCAAAUCAGGUAGGAGUACCCGCUGAACUUAAGCAUAUCAAUAAGCGGAGGAAAAGAAACCAACCGGGAUUGCCUUAGUAACGGCGAGUGAAGCGGCAAAAGCUCAAAUUUGAAAUCUGGCGUCUUCGACGUCCGAGUUGUAAUUUGAAGAAGGCGACUUUGUAGCUGGUCCUUGUCUAUGUUCCUUGGAACAGGACGUCAUAGAGGGUGAGAAUCCCGUGUGGCGAGGAUCCCAGUUAUUUGUAAAGUGCUUUCGACGAGUCGAGUUGUUUGGGAAUGCAGCUCUAA